GUUUUACUGGCUCAGUUGGUUAGAGCGUGGUGCUCAUAACACCAAGGUUGUGAGUUCAAUCCCCAUGUAGGCCA